rnacentral:lncRNA from 1 species
CUUCUUCUUCAUCACUUCUUCUCUUCAUACCCAGGAAACCAACUUCUCCUCUGCAAAUCAAAAUUCGAAAUUUCUGUGUUUGGCUUCCAUCUCCUUUCACCAACAUCAAAGUUUGUAUUUUUACCCAGAUCCACACCCUCAGUAAUAACAUUUCCAGACCUUCGAACCAUUUGGACAGAUCAUAAAAUUUGUAAACAGAGAAAAAGAAGAACCUUCCUCCAUCAAGAUCUGACACCGACCCAUGAAGGUUCUUGGAAGCAAAAGCACCGACAGAAAAUCAAGUCUGAUAAAAAUAAAAACCAGUAGAUCUAGAUCUGAACAUUGCUAACCUGCCAGAUCUACCCGCAAAACAACAGGUGUGAAAACAUAUGCUCAAUACAUUAAAUAUCAAUGGUCAAGUUACAAUUUUUUGCAAACUCAAAGAGGUUGCAGAUGUAAAAAUGGGACCGUAAAUUCUUAUCUUGAAGUGACCCAGAUAAUUCUUCUGCUUGCAAUCUCUUUCUCACCAGCACCUGAACUUGAA